rnacentral:rRNA from 1 species
GGCUCUUUGAUGUAAAAUAAUAAAGAGUCUGACCUGCCCAGUGAGAUUAAUCUUAAACGGCCGCGGUACUCUGACCGUGCGAAGGUAGCAUAAUCAUUUGUCUUUUAAUAGAAGUCUAGUAUGAAUGGUUUGUCAAGGAUAUAGCUGUCUCUUUCUCCUUUUUUAGAACUUUAUUUUUAAGUUAAAAAGCUUAAAUUACAUAAAAAGACAAGAAGACCCUAUCGAGCUUUAAAGAAUUUUUUAGAUUUAAAUAUAUUGAAUAAAUAGUUUACUUAAAGAGUUUUUGGUUGGGGCGACUUAGGAACAAGCAAAGCUUCCUAUAAAAAACAAAUUUGGCAAAUUUUGAUCCACUUUUAGUGAUUAAAGAAAUUAGUUACCGUAGGGAUAACAGCAUAAUCUUUUUUGAGAGUUCUUAUCGAAAAAAAGGUUUGUGACCUCGAUGUUGGAUCAAAAUGUCCUAAAGAUGUAGCAG